AUGAAGAUACCUCUUAAGAAUAAAAUCCUUGCAUGGUACCUUCAUCGCGGAGUCAUUCUUACUAAGGAUAACCUUAUUUAGAGGAAUUGGCAUGGAAGUACACAAUGUGUCUUUUGUCACCAUGAUGAGACAAUAAAACAUUUAUUCUUCUAAUGCAAAUUGGCUCAUUCUAUAUGGUCAGCCAUCCAAAUAGCUUCUCGCUUGUAUCCUCCUUGUAGUGUUGCUAGUGCAUUUGGCAACUGGGUACAUGGGAUUGAUCACAUGUUUAGAAUUCUUCUCAGGGUGGGAGCGCUUGCCGUUAUUUGGUCGCUUUGGCUGUGUAAAAAUGAUAAGGUUUUUGAUGAUAAAAGUACUUCUUUGAUGCAGGUUAUCUACAGAUGUACCGGGGCUCUUCUUUUAUGGUCGUCUCUACAACGCGUGGAGAAUCAAGACCUGUUUACGAAGGUGUGUACACGAUUUGAGGCUACGGCGAGGGAUACUUUUAUGCAACAUGGGGGCAGCAUGAUCUUAUGA
rnacentral:rRNA from 1 species